GAUGAACGCUGGCGGCGUGCCUAAUACAUGCAAGUCGAGCGAACGGACGAGAAGCUUGCUUCUCUGAUGUUAGCGGCGGACGGGUGAGUAACACGUGGAUAACCUACCUAUAAGACUGGGAUAACUUCGGGAAACCGGAGCUAAUACCGGAUAAUAUUUUGAACCGCAUGGUUCAAAAGUGAAAGACGGUCUUGCUGUCACUUAUAGAUGGAUCCGCGCUGCAUUAGCUAGUUGGUAAGGUAACGGCUUACCAAGGCAACGAUGCAUAGCCGACCUGAGAGGGUGAUCGGCCACACUGGAACUGAGACACGGUCCAGACUCCUACGGGAGGCAGCAGUAGGGAAUCUUCCGCAAUGGGCGAAAGCCUGACGGAGCAACGCCGCGUGAGUGAUGAAGGUCUUCGGAUCGUAAAACUCUGUUAUUAGGGAAGAACAUAUGUGUAAGUAACUGUGCACAUCUUGACGGUACCUAAUCAGAAAGCCACGGCUAACUACGUGCCAGCAGCCGCGGUAAUACGUAGGUGGCAAGCGUUAUCCGGAAUUAUUGGGCGUAAAGCGCGCGUAGGCGGUUUUUUAAGUCUGAUGUGAAAGCCCACGGCUCAACCGUGGAGGGUCAUUGGAAACUGGAAAACUUGAGUGCAGAAGAGGAAAGUGGAAUUCCAUGUGUAGCGGUGAAAUGCGCAGAGAUAUGGAGGAACACCAGUGGCGAAGGCGACUUUCUGGUCUGUAACUGACGCUGAUGUGCGAAAGCGUGGGGAUCAAACAGGAUUAGAUACCCUGGUAGUCCACGCCGUAAACGAUGAGUGCUAAGUGUUAGGGGGUUUCCGCCCCUUAGUGCUGCAGCUAACGCAUUAAGCACUCCGCCUGGGGAGUACGACCGCAAGGUUGAAACUCAAAGGAAUUGACGGGGACCCGCACAAGCGGUGGAGCAUGUGGUUUAAUUCGAAGCAACGCGAAGAACCUUACCAAAUCUUGACAUCCUUUGACAGCUCUAGAGAUAGAGCUUUCCCCUUCGGGGGACAAAGUGACAGGUGGUGCAUGGUUGUCGUCAGCUCGUGUCGUGAGAUGUUGGGUUAAGUCCCGCAACGAGCGCAACCCUUAAGCUUAGUUGCCAUCAUUAAGUUGGGCACUCUAAGUUGACUGCCGGUGACAAACCGGAGGAAGGUGGGGAUGACGUCAAAUCAUCAUGCCCCUUAUGAUUUGGGCUACACACGUGCUACAAUGGACAAUACAAAGGGCAGCGAAACCGCGAGGUCAAGCAAAUCCCAUAAAGUUGUUCUCAGUUCGGAUUGUAGUCUGCAACUCGACUACAUGAAGCUGGAAUCGCUAGUAAUCGUAGAUCAGCAUGCUACGGUGAAUACGUUCCCGGGUCU
rnacentral:rRNA from 1 species